AUGUGUGUUCCAAAAAAUCACGGAGGAAUGAGAUUCUGGGAUAUACAUUGUUUCAACCAUGCACUACUAGCUAAACAAGCUUGGCGUCUUCUUGAUAAUCCUGAAUCGUUAUGUACCACCAUUUUAAGAGCCAAGUACUUUCCAGGGGGUGAUUUGAUGAGUGCAAGACCAAAGAAGGGAGCUUCUUUCACUUGGCAAAGCAUUAUGGCUGGAAUA
rnacentral:rRNA from 1 species